rnacentral:tRNA from 1 species
GUUUUUAUAGUUGAAUUACAACGAUGAUUUUUCAUGUCAUAGGUCACGGUUAAAUUCUGUGUAAAAAUA